rnacentral:rRNA from 1 species
UACGUAGGGUGCAAGCGUUAAUCGGAAUUACUGGGCGUAAAGCGUGCGCAGGCGGUGAUGUAAGACAGGUGUGAAAUCCCCCGGGCUUUAACCCUGGGAACUGCAUUUGUGACUGCAUCGCUGGAGUGCGGCAGAGGGGGAUGGAAUUCCGCGUGUAGCAGUGAAAUGCGUAGAUAUGCGGGAGGAACACCGAUGGCGAAGGCAAUCCCCCUGGGCCUGCACUGACGCUCAUGCACGAAAGCGU